ACCAGACUCCUACGGGAGGCAGCAGUGGGGAAUAUUGCGCAAUGGGCGAAAGCCUGACGCAGCGACGCCGCGUGAAGGAAGAAGGCUUUCGGGUUGUAAACUUCUUUUCUCAGGGACGAAGCAAGUGACGGUACCUGAGGAAUAAGCCACGGCUAACUACGUGCCAGCAGCCGCGGUAAUACGUAGGUGGCAAGCGUUAUCCGGAUUUACUGGGUGUAAAGGGCGUGUAGGCGGGAAAGCAAGUCAGAUGUGAAAACCAUGGGCUCAACCUGUGGCCUGCAUUUGAAACUGUUUUUCUUGAGUACUGGAGAGGCAGACGGAAUUCCUAGUGUAGCGGUGAAAUGCGUAGAUAUUAGGAGGAACACCAGUGGCGAAGGCGGUCUGCUGGACAGCAACUGACGCUGAGGCGCGAAAGCGUGGGGAGCAAACAGGAUUAGAUACCCGCGUACGA
rnacentral:rRNA from 1 species